rnacentral:rRNA from 1 species
UACGAAGGGGGCUAGCGUUGCUCGGAAUCACUGGGCGUAAAGCGCACGUAGGCGGAUUGCUAAGUCAGGGGUGAAAUCCUGGAGCUCAACUCCAGAACUGCCCUUGAUACUGGCGGUCUCGAGUCCGGGGAGAGGUGAGUGGAACUGCGAGUGUAGAGGUGAAAUUCGUAGAUAUUCGCAAGAACACCAGUGGCGAAGGCGGCUCACUGGCCCGGUAUGACGCUGAGGUGCGG